rnacentral:rRNA from 1 species
UACGGGGGGGGCAAGCGUUGUUCGGAAUUACUGGGCGUAAAGGGCGCGUAGGCGGCCUUCUAAGUCGGACGUGAAAUCCCUCGGCUUAACCUGGGAACUGCGUCUGAUACUGGGAAGCUUGAGUUCGGGAGAGGGAUGUAGAAUUCCAGGUGUAGCGGUGAAAUGCGUAGAUAUCUGGAGGAAUACCGGUGGCGAAGGCGGCAUCCUGGACCGAAACUGACGCUGAGGCGCGAAAGCUAGGGGAGCAAACGGG